rnacentral:rRNA from 1 species
CACAAGCAGCGGAGCGUGUGGUUUAAUUCGUUGCUACACGAAGAACCUUACCUGGGUUUGACAUAUAGGUUGUAGGGAACUGAAAGGGACCGACCCUUCGGGGAGCCUAUACAGGUGUUGCAUGGCUGUCGUCAGCUCGUGUCGUGAGAUGUUCGGUUAAGUCCGCUAACGAGCGCAACCCUCGUCGUAUGUUAUAUGUGUCAUACGAGACUGCCGGUAAAAAGCCGGAGGAAGGUGAGGAUGAUGUCAAGUCAGCAUGACCUUUAUAUCCAGGGCUACACACACGCUACAAUGGUCUGUACAAUGGGUAGCCAAGCCGCGAGGCGGAGCCAAUCCUGAAAGCAGGCCUCAGUUCAGAUUGCAGUCUGCAACUCGACUGCAUGAAGCCGGAGUUGCUAGUAACCGCAGGUCAGCAAUACUGCGGUGAAUACGUUCCCGGGUCUU